AGAGACUCAGGACCAUCAGUAUCAAGAAAGAAACCUCAGCUAAGCUGUACUGACUACUGACCCAGAACAACUGGGAAAUAAUCAUUGUGUUGACUGAAGACACUAAGAUUGUGGAAAUACUGUUCCACAGCAUUAUUACCUAAGAUUAAUUGGAUUUCAUCUAUAAAUCACUCUUCAUUAUCCACCAUGUGCUUGAAACAAGACACUAUAUUUGACUCUUGGGAAGAUUGCCACUGACUUCAAGUGAUGAAUGCAAGAUAAUCCUUCAAAAGAACUGCAACACAAAACAAAUACUGAGUUUCCCCAGAGUACUAUCUUAUAGUCUAAAAAUAAAAGGCUGAGAGGCAUUGAGGGUAAGAGUGUAGGAAGGGGAAGGGAGAGGCGUGUGUGUGUCCUGGCACCUCGUACUAAAAUGUAGAAGACUGUAAGGUGAUAAAUGAGAGAAGGAAAGACAAGAAAGAUGGAUCUGAGAAAAACAACAGAACAAUUGGCUGAACCCCAAGUUGUAGAAAUGGCCUAAGAUUUUCUAGUAAUUGAUUCUGUUGGCUCACAACCUCAGAAACUCCCAAGGCUGAAACUGGCUGUCCUUUGCAAGGGUAAGGGGAUACUGAAGAAAGAUGCUAAUCACUCAAGUUUGCACAUUUGAAGCACAGAAAUUCCAGAAAAAGAGGGAUAGGUGGAAUUACAUCCUAUGUGGAUUUUGGAGUCACCCUUUGAAUGAAGGUGGAAAUAACUUUAAGAGCAGCUUCUCUUCCUCUGCAGCUAAACAUCAAAAACUAGAAGAUAUAGAGAAAUAUUGGAUUCAGAAUCAAGGAUAAUUUCCACCAUCUGCUGGACUCUCCCUUGUUGGAUUUGCUUGUUCCCCUUCCAAACCUUGCCAUGCAGUGCUUAAAACACCCAAAAAGACUUUUGUAUGGAGUCAAAUUCUAGCAUUUUCUGGUCAGCCCCAUUACU